AUGAGGACUGAAUUAUCCAUGGACGAGACACAGACAUUUACAAAUGGAGACUUUCAUCCAGAAAUCAGGCCCAUCUACCAAGAUAAAUCAGAACCCAGUUGUGUGUCCAUGAAGAGUGAGCGGUCAAUGGGAUGCCCUCCAAAAUUUAAUGGUGGAAUCUUUCCUCCUGGUUACAGGUCAGUCAACCGAGAAAGAUCAGAACCCAGCUGUGUGUCCAUGAAGAGUGAACGGUCAAUGGGAUGCCCUCCAAAAUUCAAUGACAAAGGAUGUCUUCCUGAUCACAGGUCAGUCAACCGAGAAAGAUCAGAACCCAGCUGUGUGUCCAUGAAGAGUGAACGGUCAAUGGGAUGCCCUCCAAAAUUCAAUGACAAAGGAUGUCUUCCUGAUCACAGGUAAUUAGAUUGUGAGGGGACAUAAACAUUAGGACUACUGAGUCCAUGAUGCAUUUUUUUACAGCCUUUUCUCAGUAACUACCUUACUUAUCUAGGUAGACCCCAUAUACUAUAUUACCCUUCCACCAUCACCAGGCUUGUGCCGUGUUUGAAAAAAUUUGAUGUCAGAUUUUUUUGUUUUUCAGAGUCCAGCAGGAGAAAUCAGACAGAGAAACUGGACAGAACAGCUUGAAAAGAAACCAGAGAAUCGACAUCAGAGAACAAGGGUGAGACUAUAAUUUACAUAUCUAAAAACAAUAGCUUAGGAGAUAAAUUAAUUUUUGUGAUCUUCUCACAAAUAAUGGCUCCAACAGUAUUUUCCUUCCAAAUCUUGUAAAAAAAAAAAAAAACUAUUACAAGCGGGCAAAUUUGGA
rnacentral:lncRNA from 12 species